GGGCUUUAUAUGUUUUUUUUUUAAGAAGGGAUUGUGUAUGUAUUUUUAAGGCAGAAUUGUGCAUGUAUUUUUAAGAAAGGCUUGUGUAUAUUGUUAAGAAGGACGUGAGUGGUUCCUCUCUCUCUCUGUUUAUCUCUCUUUGUUUUCUCUUUCUCUCUCUCUAUUAAGGGCUCAUCGGCCUCAUUGAGACAUCCGUGAUUUGUCGGGUUGAGAUACGGGGGGUGAGGUGUGCGUCUGGCUUAUUGAGACAUCCGGGGAGUUGUCGGGUUGAGAAAUAAGUGACGUUUUAUAUUACAGUAUUAAGAAGUCUGCCAAGUUGAAAAGAAACUGGGGUCUCGGUUAGGGGUCUGCUUCGUUGAGACACUUGGGUCGUAUAUUAAAGAGUUAAAAAGUCAGCCAAAUUGAGAAAUUGGGGUCUCAUUUAGUGGGUCGGCCUGGUUGAUAUAUUUGGAACGAUUCGGAAUUAAGAAGUCUGUUUUCUCUCUCUCUCUCUCUUUCUAUCUAUCUAUGGGGAAUGCUCUGGAUACCGGUCCUAUAUAUGUGUUAUUUGAAUCCUAUGUAUAAUAAGAAAUUUAGAAUGUUAAGUUACAAGUUGACCAAACGGUUAGGGGAUGAAGCCUGGCCAGUAGGGGGCACAUGGAAUGUUGAGACAAUUAAAUAAACAGAGGUGUUGAUAUGGGAAAGGAAGACAGGAACCCACUAGAAAGCAGAUUUAAAAUAGACUUUAAUUUACAGCAAUUGAACACUAAAUUCCUUCCGUUUGGCUUAUAAAUUGAUGUAAAUGAGAUUUAAAAAUCAUGUUUUAUUGUGAAUUAUUUGUGAAUAUUAUUUGGACAUUUAGGCUAUUUAAAAAUGUUAAUCAUUUAUUAACAAAUGGAUAGAUGUUUAGAUCUAGUAAUUGAAGUUUGAAAUUAGCUACAAUUGGGUAACUAACUAAUGAUAUGCUUUAAUUUCAGGUCAUCCAAGUAAGAUUAUUUUAUAUUUGUUUCAGAAUGCUUCAAUCUAUGAUAACUGAAAAUUUCAUUCAGUUCUCUUAAUUUUUAAGAAGGUUAUGGGCUUUUGACUGUCCAUGAUCACAGCUUUUUUGUUAUGUCCAUAGAAAAUCAAUAGGGAACAAGAUGCUAAUUUCCAAGUAUGAAAAUGGCCAUAACUUUUUUAUUACUUGAGAUAUGAAAGUGAAUUAGGUGUCAAAUUAAACUUAUUGUUAUGCUUUAUCUGAUGGGAUAAAUUGCAGACUUGAUUUUUUAAAUCUCACAAUUUUGUAACAUUGCUAGAUUGAGUUAAGAAACAAGGAUAGCACUGGGAAAGGAUGGAAAUUAUUGCAACUAGAAUGCCAGUGGGCAGAGGAACAAGAGAAUAUAAUUAAAAGACAGACAGGAGGUGAGAAACAGGUGAUGGUUCGUAAAAAAUAAACCCAGUACUGGUAAAUCCUCUGGAGGAGACUUCAUGUCUGGCACGGCAACCCUAUUUGGUAAUGAAGAUGAGGAGUUAGAUAAUCUUGUGAGAUGUCCACCUCCCUAUGCCCUACCAGUAGCAAUGGCAUCUUUACCUGGGACAGUUCCGUCAGUAACAUCCCUAUAACUUGAAGUUCUGACAUUACAAAGCUGCCCAGGAUUGGGAGCACGGGAAUCCCUUUCUGUGCAUAAUUGAUGCUACCAGAACAGCUGGUCAUUAUUAAAUGUACUGCACACACUGGUGCUGGGGACCCUAUAGCAAAAGGCAAUGAGUUGCCGAUAGUGUAUCCAAACAGGCAGCCUGUACAUCCAAAUGCGUAGUGACAGCAGAUAAACAGAUGCUAGCAAAUAGAACGGUCCUGCCAAACAUGAGGGAGGUAUGUACAUUACAGAGGGACGCCUCUUAUAUAUAAAAUAACUAUGGAAACAAGAGGGCUGUGCCAUUGAUUCAGCACACCCCGCUUGGACAAGUUGGUGUAUACGAUACAUUUUUACCCGUCUUACCCAUGCUGGUAAGGAGGGAAUGAUAGGAUAACAAAGGAAAUGUGGUGACACCCGAAAAUUUGAUGAGGCACUGAAGCAGGCCUCUGAAUGUAAAAUUUGCCAAUGAAGUAAUCCAGGCAAACCAAUUAGGAUACCCUCAGGGGUGACGCCAAUGCCAUCAUGAUCGUUUGAAUGCAUACAGAUUGAUUUUAUUGAGAUGCCAAGGGCCCAGUGUUAUAAAUAUUGCGUAUUGAUUUUAGAUUUAUUUAGUAGGUGGAGUGAAGCUCUACCAACCACUAUUAAUAAGGAAAAAUGUGCACAUUUUAAUAUCUGACAGCAAUUCACUGUACACACCACCCACAGGUAUCUGGGAUGGUGGAAAGAGUCAAUGGGGAUUGCAAAACAAAAUUACCCAGGAGGUAAAUCCUCUUUCUGACAAGCAACUAUGUUAUAAAAAAUUGUGGAUGAAGGAAAAUUCAAUGGAGAAAUGAGGAUAGGAGAGGGAGACUGAAAACUCAAGGGCAGUCUGACUAAUCAUGAUCUGGAUCAAUGUCCAAUUAGGGUUAGGUGACCAGGAUUUUGGUAAACAGAAGUCUUGUCAGAAAAAGGGAAAGUAAAUUACAAAGAGACGUCUUUGAAGAUGAAAUAUUAUAUACUGCUGGUAAAACAAUGUUUUUGUAUAUGUACUGCUUGUAAAGCAAUGUUUUUGUAUGUGGAAUGUGUGAAAUUCAAAGCAAUGAGCAAAAUUGUGUGUCGCUUUAAAUAGUUUGUCUUUUAAAAUGCAAAUAGAUAAAGUUUAUGGUGUGCACCGUUAAGAAACAGGCAUGAAUGGGGUGCGGAGCUAUACUCGAUGGAUAAAAUGUGUUGGUUGAUUAUAAAUCUUUUGAACCAAGUUUACAAAAAAAGACUCAUCCCGAUUAAAGUGUUAAAUGAGAUUGGAAAUGUCAAAAUUACAGAGAAAAGAAAAUGUAUUAUUGAUUACUGAUUCUGAAUGAGUUCUGUUGGGAAAGAUUGUUUUGAUAUGAUAACAGAGGUUGUCUUUUAAAAUGCAAAUGAAGCAAGAUUACUGUUUUGAAGCAAACAAAAAGAUGUUGAAGCAUGUGCUGCGUGAGAGAAAUGAAGGUAGAUGAAAAAUUGUCUUAUGACUUACAAAAGGAGGUUUGAGGGAACUCACAAUGAGGAAUGAAAGGUGAGAAGAUAAAGUAGAUUGGGGAAGAGAACAUAUUUGGAGAAUUGAAUAUUUAGGUGGGGAGAGCCUCUUCGGAUAUAAUCGGAUUAAAGAAUAAAUUCACAGGGAAGUGUUAAGAAGAUACUGGAGGAUCAAAGGUAGACAAAAGUGCUGGAGAAACUCAGCUGGUGAACAAGAUUCACAACUUUUUAUUGAUACAGUAAAAGCUGCUCUGUCCACCCCCUGGAGAGUGGGGGGAAGCCACCUACAGGCCCUGUGCAAUUAACUAAUUAUGUAUGGUCGGCAAUUAACCCAUGUCUUGCCAGAUCUACAUUCCAGGUUGGAGGAGUUUUUGCUGGAAACCAGUGACCAAGGCCAUAAAGGCUAUACGAUGGGGGUGCUGGGACAAGAAGAAAUUGAGACUGUUGAAAGAAACAACCAAGUGUUGCUAACAACAUGAAC